UACGAAGGGGGCUAGCGUUGCUCGGAAUCACUGGGCGUAAAGGGUGCGUAGGCGGGUCUUUAAGUCAGGGGUGAAAUCCUGGAGCUCAACUCCAGAACUGCCUUUGAUACUGGCGAUCUCGAGUCCGGGAGAGGUGAGUGGAACUGCGAGUGUAGAGGUGAAAUUCGUAGAUAUUCGCAAGAACACCAGUGGCGAAGGCGGCUCACUGGCCCGGAACUGACGCUGAGACGCGAAAGCGUGGGGAGCAAACAGG
rnacentral:rRNA from 1 species